UUUUAGCUCCCCUGCUUAUAAGCACAAGAGGACUAUGCGUUUGGUUAGCUGACUUAUGCUCAGCUUAUUCGAAAAGCCACUGCAGCUUCUCUCCAAAAGGAGAAGCUGCCUGACCCCAGCUUUCAGAAGCCAGAAGCCAGCAGCUACUGUAGCGGUACUUACUGUAGCUAAAUGAAUGUUUCAAAAUGACAGAUUCUAUCCUUCCUUGGGAGAGGCAAUUACGGAUUGCCAUCAAGCCCCUUCGAGAUGAGGUCAGAGGCUGCAUAGCAUUUUCAUCUCUAUCCCAUCUCCACUCUCCCUCUGACGCCGCCGGGCUCUCAUCACAGACGCCGCCUCACUCUUCCUUUAACGCCGCCUCCCUCUCCCUCUGACGCCGCCUCAGCCUCUCAUCACGAAAACCCCAAGCACAGAGAAAUCGAACCAAACACAAUCACUUCAUGACCUGAACCCACAUCCUCCCCCAAUUUCAGAUCGGGAAGCCAGAUUUCUUCAUCCUCUCUUUACUACAGAAUGCAUCCUGACAUGAAACCUUCACAGCUAUGUCAUUAUUGUACAUGGAUACUCUCUCACACUACUAGAUCAUUCAGAGUACAUAUUUUUGGAAACCAAAAGCUUUAUUGAGGAGCACUUACUAAAGUGGACUAGGCUUCGCAUAAACUUGAAACAGCUCACACAUCUUUUGCAAUUCUCUUACCCCC